rnacentral:rRNA from 1 species
GCCAAGUGGGGGGCUGGAGGCGCGGUAAUUGUGAGGGUGGGAGCGGUGUGCGGAAUUAGUGGGCGUAAAGGGUUCGUAGGCGGUUUGUCGCGGCGGGAGUGAAAUCCACUGGCUUAACGGGUGGCUUGCUUUCGAUACGGGCAGACUGGAGGUAUGCAGGGGAGAACGGAAUUCCUGGUGUAGCGGUGAAAUGCGCAGAUAUCAGGAGGAACACCGGUGGCGAAGGCGGUUCUCUGGGCAUGUCCUGACGCUGAGGAGCGAAAGUGUGGGGAGCGAACAGGAUUAGAUACCCUAGUAGUC